AGCUUGGCACAGUGUCAGUAUUGUAGCCAAUGAGGUUUAACUGAGGUGUGAUUAUUGCUAAUUGAAAUAUCAGUGUGGAAUAACAUCUGUUAGCUGUGCAAAAUUAGCAGAUCAUGCUUCUACAUAUGUUGCCUGAUA
ensembl:snRNA U4 U4 spliceosomal RNA